rnacentral:misc_RNA from 1 species
CCAAUAGCGUAUAUUUAAGUUGUUGCAGUUAAAAAGCUCGUAGUUGAAUUUCGGGAUCGACGGGUCGGUCGCGCCUCUGGUGUGUACUGGCCCUGUCGGUUUCUCCCUUCUGACGAACCACGAUGUCAUUAAUUUGGUGUCGUGGGAAAUCAGGACUGUUACUUUGAAAAAAUUAGAGUGUUUAAAGCAGGCAUUCGCUUGAAUACAUUAGCAUGGAAUAAUGAAAUAGGACGUUUGAUCUUAUUUUGUUGGUUUCUAAGAUCGACGUAAUGAUUAAUAGGGAUAGUUGGGGGCAUUAGUAUUCAAUUGUCAGAGGUGAAAUUCUUGGAUUUAUUGAAGACUAACUACUGCGAAAGCAUUUGCCAAGGAUGUUUUCAUUAAUCAAGAACGAAAGUUAGGGGAUCGAAGACGAUCAGAUACCGUCGUAGUCUUAACCAUAAACUAUGCCGACUAGGGAUCGGAUGAUGUUAAUUUUUUAAUGACUCAUUCGGCGCCUUACG